UUAAAUUGAAGAGUUUGAUCAUGGCUCAGAUUGAACGCUGGCGGCAGGCCUAACACAUGCAAGUCGAACGGUAACAGAAAGCAGCUUGCUGCUUUGCUGACGAGUGGCGGACGGGUGAGUAAUGUCUGGGAAACUGCCUGAUGGAGGGGGAUAACUACUGGAAACGGUGGCUAAUACCGCAUAACGUCGCAAGACCAAAGAGGGGGACCUUCGGGCCUCUUGCCAUCAGAUGUGCCCAGAUGGGAUUAGCUAGUUGGUGAGGUAACGGCUCACCAAGGCGACGAUCCCUAGCUGGUCUGAGAGGAUGACCAGCCACACUGGAACUGAGACACGGUCCAGACUCCUACGGGAGGCAGCAGUGGGGAAUAUUGCACAAUGGGCGCAAGCCUGAUGCAGCCAUGCCGCGUGUAUGAAGAAGGCCUUCGGGUUGUAAAGUACUUUCAGCGGGGAGGAAGGUGUUGUGGUUAAUAACCGCAGCAAUUGACGUUACCCGCAGAAGAAGCACCGGCUAACUCCGUGCCAGCAGCCGCGGUAAUACGGAGGGUGCAAGCGUUAAUCGGAAUUACUGGGCGUAAAGCGCACGCAGGCGGUCUGUCAAGUCGGAUGUGAAAUCCCCGGGCUCAACCUGGGAACUGCAUUCGAAACUGGCAGGCUUGAGUCUUGUAGAGGGGGGUAGAAUUCCAGGUGUAGCGGUGAAAUGCGUAGAGAUCUGGAGGAAUACCGGUGGCGAAGGCGGCCCCCUGGACAAAGACUGACGCUCAGGUGCGAAAGCGUGGGGAGCAAACAGGAUUAGAUACCCUGGUAGUCCACGCCGUAAACGAUGUCUACUUGGAGGUUGUGCCCUUGAGGCGUGGCUUCCGGAGCUAACGCGUUAAGUAGACCGCCUGGGGAGUACGGCCGCAAGGUUAAAACUCAAAUGAAUUGACGGGGGCCCGCACAAGCGGUGGAGCAUGUGGUUUAAUUCGAUGCAACGCGAAGAACCUUACCUGGUCUUGACAUCCACGGAAGUUUUCAGAGAUGAGAAUGUGCCUUCGGGAACCGUGAGACAGGUGCUGCAUGGCUGUCGUCAGCUCGUGUUGUGAAAUGUUGGGUUAAGUCCCGCAACGAGCGCAACCCUUAUCCUUUGUUGCCAGCGGUUAGGCCGGGAACUCAAAGGAGACUGCCAGUGAUAAACUGGAGGAAGGUGGGGAUGACGUCAAGUCAUCAUGGCCCUUACGACCAGGGCUACACACGUGCUACAAUGGCGCAUACAAAGAGAAGCGACCUCGCGAGAGCAAGCGGACCUCAUAAAGUGCGUCGUAGUCCGGAUUGGAGUCUGCAACUCGACUCCAUGAAGUCGGAAUCGCUAGUAAUCGUGGAUCAGAAUGCCACGGUGAAUACGUUCCCGGGCCUUGUACACACCGCCCGUCACACCAUGGGAGUGGGUUGCAAAAGAAGUAGGUAGCUUAACCUUCGGGAGGGCGCUUACCACUUUGUGAUUCAUGACUGGGGUGAAGUCGUAACAAGGUAACCGUAGGGGAACCUGCGGUUGGAUCACCUCCUUACCUUAAAGAAGC
rnacentral:rRNA from 1 species